AGGGCACAGCUACUCAGGUCUGCUCGCUGUGUGAGAACCGAAAGCGCAAGUCAGGCUCACUGCACCUGCAUAUGGGGAAGCCAGAAAAACCUGUUCCAAACUUCUGAGACAUGACCUGGCCUAACACUGAAGGAUCAUAAAAAAUUUGCUUUCACCAAGAAGUUCAGAAACUUUAACAUGGCUGAUGUGAUAAAUUGUUGGGUCUUUCCCUGAAGCUCAAGAAGGAAGGAGAAUUUGAGGAAGGCUGAACUCAGAGAAGAGAGGUGAUAAAAUAAAGAGAAAGGUCUCUGGAGAGAUCAGCUACACCGUAGCCAGCUGGGACCUGUGGAGGACAAAUAUCAUUAUGAUAUUCCCUGCAGCAGGAAGCAGCAAAUGAACUGUCAGGCCAGUGAGGUCUGACACCCAAUUAUAAGUUGUCAAACAUAUACACAGUGUCUUUCCGUCAUA